rnacentral:lncRNA from 1 species
ACACUGGCCUCCUCGAGCGCGCCGCCCGCGCCCAGCGCCCCACGCCCCGCGCCCCGGGCCGUGCAGCCAGCCCUUACCUUGCAGCGCCCGGCUGUCUCCCGAUCGCUAAAGCUACUUAUCCCGGGAAAGCUCGCGCGGGACCCGGGAACGAACCCACAGACAAAAAGUGAAACUUCGGCAGGGCUGGAGCGGCUGCUGGUUGGUGCCUUUCCCCCUCCUUCCUCCCCACCGUCCCCACCCCCUCCCCUUGGUCUCCCGUGCGGUGCCCUGAGCGCUGGAGGCUGACGUCAGGGGCCUGAAUUCCUGACUUUGCCUGCACGCAUUUGUCCAUGUAAGGUAUGGGAAGGCGUGUGCCCGCGAAGCCGCCGCGCAGAGCUCGCCUGGCGGGGGAGGGGAAACCCGCAGCCGGCAGUGGCUUUGCCAAAAGGUGGGCGCACUGAGGGCAUUGCAUUUCCUGGGAGGAAGAGGAGGAGACGCGGGAAUGCAGGGAGCUUGCAAAGGAGGAAGAGAAAGAGGGAGAUGUGGAGACUUUGCCCCUGCUAGAGGAAGAGGAAGGAGACGUAGGAGGAAGCGGCCGCGUCAGGGGGCUCCUGGAAAAUGGAAAAGCCUGCGUCUACUAUUAAGGCGUCAAAUUAGGGCACUGAGCUUGAGUGGAAGAGAUCCAGCCAUGAAAUCCCCUUCCAAGAUUUUCCUCGUGAGCCCCGCCCUGGAUUCCCAGCAAGACUCAAAACUUACAAGGUGUCAGAGCUGGCAAAGACCAACUUCCAACCCGUCCGCUUGGCACGUGAGGAAACUGAAGCUCUCGGAAGAGAAAUGACUUGUACAGGGUCGUCACUCAGCAGAUCGAGGAGCGGGCCCAGGCGCUCUGCCUCCCACUUGGGUUCCCGCCUCCAGGAAGGGCCCUGGCUCCCUUUUAGCCCUGAGCCUUGAAGCAGGUUAGAUGCCCGCGAGCUGUGCGGACCACCCAGUGAUUUCUACUGCUCUUGGCCCAGAGCCAGUUCCUGGAAGGUCCUGGUUGACAGCGAGCCCUGAAUAUCAAUGACAAUCAGUUGCUUCAGGGCAACUUCCUCUGUCCUGUGCUCAAAUAAAUGAAUCCCUGGAGUUUAACGUUUACUUCUGAGCCCCGCCCAGAAAGCUUGCUCUGUGCUUAUAGCUUCAAAAAAGUCUGCGAACGAGAUGAACUGGUUUGAAUACAGACAAGCCUGUCAUUGGAAGUUUUGAGUUGGAUUUUUCUUUCCCCUCUGACAUCUGUAAGGGUGAACGACGAUGAGAACCACCACUUAACUGUGUUAGGGGAUUAUGACGCGCAGCAGCCAUGGCCAGGAAAGCAUUCCAUACCCUGAGACUUCCUUUCCUUGCACUUCUCUCCUAUUAAUAUCUAAAGUAAUCCCUCACGUUAGCACAUAAUGAAAGCAGUCUCUCACCCGGCUAUUGCAUCUUCAGGUGAGUUAGAUAGGACAGAGCGUAGUCCCCCCUUUACACCUCAGACAAAAACUUAAGAAACGUUACUCGCCCAACACAAAACAACUGACUGACCAAGCACCUGUCUUCCCCUCCUCCCAUCCAGGUCUCCUGACUAAUCCCUUCAUCUUUCCAUACCUGGCCCUGACCUCUAGCAGGACCUAAUUCCAUUCAUAACUGUUGAGAGUACACCAUGAGCUACUGAUUCAUAAAAACUCCAAAAAGUGGUUCUUCUGAGGAUGGACUUUAGUGGGAUUCUUUUGACCAGGAAUUAAGGAAAUAAUGUAAAAACACAUGUUAUUGGAUUUAUUAAGCACCUUCCUUGUGCUUAAUAAGUGUUUGAAUUCAGACAUUUCAGGGGUAAGACUACUUAACCUCUGUGUUCCUCUCAACUAUCUAAUGUACACAUACAAAAAUAUGAACAUGGCUGGGCGCGGUGGCUUACACCUGUAAUUCCAGCACUUUGGGACGCCGAGGCGGGCAAAUCACCUGAGGUCAGGAGCUCGAGCCAGCCUGGCCAACAUGGCAAAACCCCAUCUCUACCAAAAAUACAAAAAACUAGCUGGGCGUGGCGGCGAGCGCCUGUAAUCCCAGGUAUUCCGGAAGCUGAGGCAGGAGAAUUGCCUGAACCCGGGAGGCAAAGGUUUUAGUGAGCCGAGAUUGCGCCACUGCACUCCAGCCUGGGGGACAGAGCAAGACUGUUGUCAAAAAAAAAAAAUAUAUAUAUAUACAAACACAUAUAUAUACACAUAUAUAUACAUAUAUACACAUAUAUAUACAUAUAUAUACACAUAUAUAUACAUAUAUAUAUACACACACACAUAUAUAUAUACACACAUACAUAUAUAUAUAUGAAGGCAGUAACAGAGAGAUAAGGUCGAGAAUAACCACCCAUUCCACAGACUAAUAAAGAAUUUAUCUCUUUGCAACUAACAUAGUUUGAAAUGGGAGAUACGGGCUCUUGGAGAGAGUUUUUUCUGGGGUUCUGAAAAGGUCAGAUCCUAUCAAAACACAAUCCACUCACUCAAACAUUUCAGCGUACUCACAUUCUGAGUACUACUGUUUAGUAUGAAAAGAAUUCCAGUGUUACAUGAAGUAAAAAUGGAUUAUCUCAAUCCUCAUGGAAUAUAACGGGACUUGACCAGCAUUUCCUUUUUUUUUUUCCUUCAGUAACUCACUUAUAAGGAAUAAUAGGGUCCUAAUGAGGAUUAAGAUUUAAUAAGGUGUAAUUAGAGUUGUUCAUUUCUUCCAUCAUAUACAUUAUAAGAGUACUGUGCCGGAUCCAGAAAUGCUACUAAUUAUGUUGAAACUGUUGUAUGGGUGUGUUGGGGAAGUCACUGUGUUUCUCCUCCUGAAAUGUUUAUGAAUUGCUCAGGUGAGCAUGGUGAGCAUGGUGUUAGCAUGAACAUCAUAUAAAGUUAACUACAAAAGA